rnacentral:rRNA from 1 species
UACGUAGGGUGCAAGCGUUGUCCGGAAUUAUUGGGCGUAAAGAGCUCGUAGGCGGUUUGUCGCGUCGGCUGUGAAAUCCCGAGGCUCAACCUCGGGCCUGCAGUCGAUACGGGCAAACUAGAGUGUGGUAGGGGAGACUGGAAUUCCUGGUGUAGCGGUGAAAUGCGCAGAUAUCAGGAGGAACACCGGCGGCGAAGGCGGGUCUCUGGGCCAUAACUGACGCUGAGGAGCGAAAGCGUGGGGGAGCGAACAGG